rnacentral:rRNA from 1 species
AGCAGCCGCGGUAAUUCCAGCUCCAAUAGCGUAUAUUAAAGUUGCUGCAGUUAAAAGCUCGUAGUUGAAUUUCGGGACCGAUAUAUCGGUCGUGCCUCGGUACGUACUGGUAUUUUCGGUUUCUCCCUUCUGACGAACCUUGAUGUCAUUAAUUUGGUGUCUUGGGGAAUCAGGACUGUUACUUUGAAAAAUUAGAGUGUUUAAAGCAGGCUCACGCUUGAAUACAUUAGCAUGGAAUAAUGAAAUAGGACGUUUGAUUCUAUUUUGUUGGUUUCUGGGAUCGACGUAAUGAUUAAUAGGGAUAGUUGGGGGCAUUAGUAUUCAAUUGUCGGAGGUGAAAUUCUUGGAUUUAUUGAAGACUAACUACUGCGAAAGCAUUUGCCAAGGAUGUUUUCAUUAAUCAAGAACGAAAGUUAAGGGAUCGAAGACGAUCAGAUACCGUCGUAGUCUUAACCAUAAACUAUGCCGACUAGGGAUCGGAUGAUGUUAAUUUUUAAUGACUCAUUCGGCGCCUUACGGG